rnacentral:lncRNA from 1 species
AACAAAACCAGGCUAGCUAUAUGUGUGCCCAAGAAGUCCACACAUACAACAACAGAAAGGAACAAUAUCAGAAACAAUGUUAUAUAACGGAAACAUACUUAUAAUUAACACUUACAUCAUAGUAUCGCGGAAUUAACGGUAACUAAACUUCAGGCUCAAUCUUCACAGGGACCGCUGACUGGGGGUAACAUAUGCCAAGCACUUCUAUCCAUCCUCUAUGAACUCCUUCAUGACUCCAUCAUCCUUCUGAUGAACUCUUACUAGUAGACUGUAGUGGUGGGAAAUAGCAAGAGUGAGCACAUAUCGUACUCAACAAGUAUAACCAGGGGUUCAUGAGGCUCAAAUAGCUGACACUGGUUUGACUGCAUUUAGCUUUUAAUAGUGGAUAGCAGGUUCAUAAUUAGAUAGCAAAUGUCAAGGUGGCAUAAAUAAUCCAUUAAUCACAUGAUCAAGUGUAAGCAUAAUUAAUUCAUAGCAUAAACGAUAAUCAAAUGAACAUAACAACUUAACAAGCUCAUCGUCGUCGCAGCAAGAACCCCCAAGGCCGCUCUUAACCGUGAGCACGGCUAGUAUACUAGUUUUAACACUCUGCAGAGGUUGUACAUCUUUACCCAUGAGUCAUGAUUUACCCUUUCGCCCGAGGUAGCUAGUCUCUUAACCCCCUUCCUAGGGAGGUCGGCAGGGAUCACUAUGAAGCCUUUCAAAAGUUCGUCUAACAUGUUAGGGCCGCAAGGUUUCCUUCGCGAGCAGAUAUAGAUACCCCCCUUCCGAAUGGCACAAUGACGCGCAGCCUAUACACAUAGGGACAGGGGCUCGCACUAUACCCGUGUCGGUUCAGCCCCUCUAGCGCCCUUUCCGGUAACCUCUAACAAGCUAGAAAAGGUCUUCAUACUGAGCUAAAGCCAGAGCCAUAUAGCCCUCAUGGUUGUACGAGUUGUCCUAGCUUUUGCCAAGGGAUAAAUCCUUAUGGAGGGUCAAGAUCAAUCCAGCAAAAGCCGGAGUUCUUUCCACCCUUUAUAUUCAAGUUGCUAGAAAGCUUAUUUUAUUGUUUAUUGUAUAUUCAAAUAUUCAUGUUACAAGAUCAUGGAUUAAUAAUCAAGCACUAGCAAGAACUACCCACAUGCAUAUCCAAAAAGGUAACAAGGAAUUCAGGAUAACAAUCAUCUAUGAUUUUGCUAAGGUCAUCAAGGUGGACACAUGCAUAUGAUAUAUGUAUUAAAAGUGUGUAGGUAACAAGGAUAAUCCCAAGUUGUACUUGCCUUAAACACUUGCUCAAUUCUUAUAUCAUCAACUUUUGGUCAUCAUCUACUAAUCUUCAGCGUCCACAAACAGUUCUUGUCUAUUCGUAUCAAGCACCACACAUAGACAAACAUGCAAGCAACAAAUAGAACAACUAAGAACAAUACACCAUACAAGAUAAAAGAGCAUACUAAUAGAUACCUAAUGCUACAAGGUCACAAGUAAUGCUCAUAACGGAACUAUCGUUACAAAGGAUACGACUAUCGUGACUACUAAAAAAGAGACAAAAGACUACGGAGCGUAUUUAUUUUAUUCAGUGAAACAAGGUGAUAGAUAUUUUAGAGAAACAUCCUAAAGUGGAAUUAGUCAAAUUGGAUUAAUUACAAAGUCAGAGUUAACACUUAAUUACAUUUUAAUUAUAAAUAAUUACAUAUAUAAUUUAAUCUAUUUAAGUAUUUAUAAUUUAGAAAGCAUAAAGAAAGUGAGAGCAACUAAUUGAAUAAUCAUGUUUCAAGGUUUAUCUAAGCAGAUCAUAUUUCAACAGACAUUAAUGUUGGUAUUAAUCAUAUUAACAUUUAUUUAUGAAAUACUAUAGCUAUAAACUUAAGUUAUUGUUAAUAAAUUAAAGACAUGAGAUAAAUAUUAAUCAUAUCAGGUACACAUUUCAUGUUUAACUAAACCACUAUAAUUAAGAAAUAUUUAAGUUGUCGUCAAUUGUAUUAACACUUAUUUAUUUAUUUAUUUAUAAAGAUUGAAAUUAUGAACCUAAGUCACUUUUAAUUCAAUAAGACAUAUAUAAGCAUGAAUCAAAUUAAUAUGAUUAAUUAAAUUUAUAAACUCAUAACAUGAUAAAUAUUGUUGCUAACUCAUAACUUAAAGUCGGUGUGGUCACAACGCAACCGAAAACAGAAUUAUAACCCUAGAUUAAUUUUUAUUAGGAAGCUAUUAAUUAAAUAUUAAAUAAAUUACAUUUAAAUCAAUCAAUUCAGAAUUAAGUUACAUAAUAAAAGUUUAUACUACCAUGUAGAGUACGUCGAUACAAAUCUAACGCAACUUAAACCACUUAAAUCAGUCGUAAAACGAAUGGACGGCAGAUAUUAAACGAGCAGUGGCAAAACCGUAAUUACCUGCAUCUUCUACCUUGAGUGUCUGUACGUUCAGG